rnacentral:rRNA from 1 species
GACGAACGCUGGCGGCGUGCUUAACACAUGCGAGUCGAACGGAAAGGCCCUGCUUUUGUGGGGUGCUCGAGUGGCGAACGGGUGAGUAACAGGUGAGUAACCUGCCCUUGACUUUGGGAUAACUUCAGGAAACUGGGGCUAAUACCGGAUAGGAGCUCCUGCUGCAUGGUGGGGGUUGGAAAGUUUCGGCGGUUGGGGAUGGACUCGCGGCUUAUCAGCUUGUUGGUGGGGUAGUGGCUUACCAAGGCUUUGACGGGUAGCCGGCCUGAGAGGGUGACCGGCCACAUUGGGACUGAGAUACGGCCCAGACUCCUACGGUAGGCAGCAGUGGGGAAUAUUGCACAAUGGGCGGAAGCCUGAUGCAGCAACGCCGCGUGCGGGAUGACGGCCUUCGGGUUGUAAACCGCUUUCGCCUGUGACGAAGCGUGAGUGACGGUAAUGGGUAAAGAAGCACCGGCUAACUACGUG